GACGAACCGUGCGAACGUUGUUCGGAAUCACUGGGCUUAAAGGGCGCGUAGGCGGGCGAUCAAGUCGGGGGUGAAAUCUUUCGGCUCAACCGGAAAAUAGCCUUCGAUACUGGUCGUCUGGAGGGAGGUAGGGGCGUGUGGAACUUCCGGUGGAGCGGUGAAAUGCGUUGAUAUCGGAAGGAACUCCGGUGGCGAAAGCGACACGCUGGAUCUCACCUGACGCUGAGGCGCGAAAGCCAGGGGAGCGAACGGG
rnacentral:rRNA from 1 species